AAGAAAAGAAAAGAAAGAUACCUUUUUUUUAGUUUGUUACUUUCAGAACUGUGUAUCUUUUUUUCCCUUAGAUUUAUUAGCCAGGUUGUUAAAAUAAGGGUUCCCUUCUUCAAUUAUUUGGAGAGAUUUGGUGUGCUUUUUUUAUUCAGUGGGGAGCAUGCAUGGGUCACAUGAUCUUGUACCUGGCUUUCUUCUGAUAGUGUGAUGAAGUGAACUUUAAAUAAGACAUUGGUGCCCAUAAUUUGAUGCAUACAAUAAAAGGUAUAGGUAACAUGAUUUCAGCUAAGUUUUCUAAGUAGUAAUAUGAGUCCCUUAGUUUUAUAGGAGAAGACCUAGUAAUAAUUUAUUAAAAUAAUGUUGUGUAUGCCAUGUAACACAUUGUAAUACAUCUGAGAAGAAAUUUCAAGGAAGUUCUUAGGUUGACAUGUGCUUUCUUUCUCUCUGGGGACAGUGAUCAGUUACUAAAAGUAGUGGAUCACUUUGACUGUUUUCAUCUCCCUAUUAUAGAUGAUUAAUAAUAAAGUAUAUGUUUUUUCCAAAGUCGUAACUGCCAAAAAUCUCACACAGCUGAAUUAACAUAAUGAUUUGAUAGCAUAUCUGUCAGAAACGAAACAUGGGAGAGAGUGGUAGAAUAAAGUUCUGUGCAUAUAGUGUUGGCAAUGAAUAUUGACUUGCAAUUUUAUGGCUAGUUUUGUCUUAGAAAAUUAGAAAAUCAGGCCAAAAUGUUGGUUUACUUUCUUUUCAUCAUCUAGCUAGCAUUGUCUGUUAACAAAACCAAAUUGAGAGAGAGAGAAAGAGAGAGUGAGAGAAAGAGAGAGAA